ACGCUCGACACCUACUGGAGGCAGCAGUUGGGAAUAUUGGACAAUGGAGGAAACUCUGAUCCAGUGACGCCGCGUGAAGGAAGAAGGUCUUCGGAUUGUAAACUUAUUUUGUCAGGGAAGAAAAAAUGACUGUACCUGAAGAAAAAGCACCGGCUAACUACGUGCAGCAGCCGCGGUAAUCUGAGCGGGCUGGCAAGGC
rnacentral:rRNA from 1 species